rnacentral:SRP_RNA from 1 species
GCUGGGCGUGGGGGCGCAUGCCUGUAGUCCAGCUACUGGGGAGGCCGAGUGAGGUGGGAGGAUCGCUUGAGCCCAGGAGUUCUGGGCUGUAGCGCGCUAUGCCGAUCGGAUGUCUGCACUAAGUUCGGCAUCAAUAUGGUGACCUCCUGGGAGCAGGGGACCACCAGUUUGCCUAAGGAGGGGUGAACUGGCCCAGGUCGGAAACGGAGCAGGUCAAAACUCCCAUGCUGAUCAGUAGUGGGAUCGCGCCUGCGAAUAGCCACUGCACUCCAGCCUGGGCAACAUAGCGAGACCCCGUCUCU